rnacentral:rRNA from 1 species
CCUACGGGAGGCAGCGGUGGGGAAUAUUGCGCAAUGGCCGAAAGGCUGACACAGCGACGCCGCGUGGGGGAUGAAGCAUUUCGGUGUGUAAACCCCUGUUGCUCGGGACGAACAACUGGAUUUGUCCAGUCUGACGGUACCGGGUGAGGAAGCACCGGCUAACUCCGUGCCAGCAGCCGCGGUAAUACGGAGGGUGCGAGCGUUGUCCGGAAUCACUGGGCGUAAAGGGCGCGUAGGCGGUCUGCUAAGCGUGUGGUGAAAGCUCGGGGCUCAACCCCGAGUCUGCCAUGCGAACUGGUGGACUAGAGCACUGUAGAGGCAGGUGGAAUUCCGGGUGUAGCGGUGGAAUGCGUAGAGAUCCGGAAGAACACCGGUGGCGAAGGCGGCCUGCUGGGCAGUAGCUGACGCUGAGGCGCGACAGCGUGGGGAGCAAACAGGAUUAGAUACCCUGGUAGUCCACGCCGUAAACGAUGGGGACUAGGUGCUUGGGGGAGCGACCCCUCGAGUGCCGGCGCUAACGCAUUAAGUCCCCCGCCUGGGGAGGUACGGCCGCGAGCGNGAACGUAAAGAAGUAGACGGCGUGAGACGUCGCCGACGGACGACGACGAGGGAGAGG